ensembl:misc_RNA 7SK 7SK RNA
GGAUGUAAGGGCAAUCUGGCUGUGACAUCUGUCACCCCAUUGAUCACCAGCAUUGUUAAUGGCUGAUCUGGCUGGCUAGGUGGGUGUCCCCUUCCUCCCUUACGGCUUCAUGUGUGUCCCUCCCAAAGCUGUGCCCUCAGGUGAAUAGGCAGACCUUCCCAGUGGAGGAGUAUCAUUCUUUGGUCAAGGGUAUGCAAGUAACUGUGCUACCUGCUAGAAACUCCAGGUAAGCUCUCAGGGUCCAUUUGUGAGACAAUGUAGGGUAGUUAGGCUUCCAAGACUCCAGACACAUCCAAAUGAGGCACUAUAUGUGGCACUCUGCUGUUCUUA